GGCCUUAUAGUGUAAUAGUUAACACGUAGAGUUUACAAGCUCUAAAGUCUAGGUUCGAUCCCUAGUAAGGCCC